rnacentral:rRNA from 1 species
UGGGGAAUAUUGGACAAUGGGGGCAACCCUGAUCCAGCAAUGCCGCGUGUGUGAAGAAGGCCUUCGGAUUGUAAAGCACUUUCGACGGGGACGAUGAUGACGGUACCCGUAGAAGAAGCCCCGGCUAACUUCGUGCCAGCAGCCGCGGUAAUACGAAGGGGGCUAGCGUUGCUCGGAAUGACUGGGCGUAAAGGGCGUGUAGGCGGUUUACACAGUCAGAUGUGAAAUCCCCGGGCUUAACCUGGGAGCUGCAUUUGAUACGUGCAGACUAGAGUGUGAGAGAGGGUUGUGGAAUUCCCAGUGUAGAGGUGAAAUUCGUAGAUAUUGGGAAGAACACCGGUGGCGAAGGCGGCAACCUGGCUCAUGACUGACGCUGAGGCGCGAAAGCGUGGGGGAGCAAACAGG